GGAAGCCGGUGCGAGUCCGGCGCGGCCCCGCCACUGUGACGGGCAAGACGUAGCGGCUCAGAGCCACUGGGAAACCGGGAAGGCGAGCCGCCCGCCCGAAGCCAGGAGAC
rfam:Gemmatimonadetes bacterium 13_1_40CM_70_15 13_1_40cm_scaffold_1734, whole genome shotgun sequence.